GACGAACGCUGGCGGCGUGCUUAACACAUGCAAGUCGAACGGAAAGGCCCUGCUUUUGUGGGGUGCUCGAGUGGCGAACGGGUGAGUAACACGUGAGUAACCUGCCCUUGACUUUGGGAUAACUUCAGGAAACUGGGGCUAAUACCGGAUAGGAGCUCCUGCUGCAUGGUGGGGGUUGGAAAGUUUCGGCGGUUGGGGAUGGACUCGCGGCUUAUCAGCUUGUUGGUGGGGUCGUGGCUUACCAAGGCUUUGACGGGUAGCCGGCCUGAGAGGGUGACCGGCCACAUUGGGACUGAGAUACGGCCCAGACUCCUACGGGAGGCAGCAGUGGGGAAUAUUGCACAAUGGGCGGAAGCCUGAGGCAGCAACGCCGCGUGCGGGAUGACGGCCUUCGGGUUGUAAACCGCUUUCGCCUGUGACGAAGCGUGAGUGACGGUAAUGGGUAAAGAAGCACCGGCUAACUACGUG
rnacentral:rRNA from 1 species